rnacentral:rRNA from 1 species
ACCGGCGCACGGGUGAGUAACACGUAUCCAACCUGCCGUCUACUCUUGGACAGCCUUCUGAAAGAAGAUUAAUACAAGAUGGCAUCAUGAGUCCGCAUGUUCACAUGAUUAAAGGUAUUCCGGUAGACGAUGGGGAUGCGUUCCAUUAGAUAGUAGGCGGGGUAACGGCCCACCUAGUCUUCGAUGGAUAGGGGUUCUGAGAGGAAGGUCCCCCACAUUGGAACUGAGACACGGUCCAAACUCCUACGGGAGGCAGCAUG